rfam:Aedes albopictus isolate Foshan contig17536, whole genome shotgun sequence.
CAAAUGGUCCUUUUCAGGACCACCGAAAAUAUCAUUCCAUCAAUCA